AUUAUUUAUAAAAGAAAUUGAUUUUUAUUGUGCAUAACCAAAAACUGCGCAUAGUAUCUCCCUCUCACCCAAACCACGACAUUAGUAUCUCCCUCACACCCAAACAGUGCCCGUAUCCCUCACCCAAAACUUUCUGCAUAGCCAACCGCCGCACAGCCCCAACGUAGAGUGCCCAACGACCAUGGUGGUUGUAAGAGUGUCCUCUUUGCUUCACACAAUAGCCAAAUCAGGCACAUAACCGAGAUGGGACGUUGCUCUUACAGACUUCCUCCAACACAUCCCAUAAGGUUGGCUCUUUCUCUCAACUUCUCAGUGUUCUACUUUGAGAUCUUCAAUUCUGUUGAUAAAGCUUGUAGCAUGGCUAAACAGUUUGCAUUGGAUUCUAUGUAGGAGCUUGCCAAAGUUUUUGAUUUUAUUAUUUGAUCACAAAAGAUGGACUUGUUAUCAUUGAUGCUCUUUAUAUUUGUCUACUACUCUUGUAGUCCUAUAUUAAGUGGUGAAGUAGGUAAAUAUUUUGCAGAGUUGAAUUAGUGAUACUGAGUGUAGAAAGUUUCCCUUUGAGGCCUUCGUGGAUUAAGUGUAAAACGGAGGAAAUAGUGAGUGAGAAAAUUUAUGGAAAUUUUAUAGACUUUGAUUGAUAGUGAAAGAGGAGGAUAAAGUAUAGUAAUCUUUUAUCCUUCUAGAAAAUCUUGGCUUGCUCAUUUUUCAUCCCACCAAUGCCAAUCAUUACUACUAUCUUCACCACCUCCAUCCUCAUACCCACCCCCAAGGUGUAGAAAAUAAGAAACAAAGUAACCCACAAAAAGUACCCCAAGGUGUAGAGAAGAACAGGGAUUUGAUGCACUUGGACGCAAAUCUACAGCCUAUUUCGGCUAGAAAGAAGAUGUGGAGUAUUUUGGACUGUUCUGUCGUCGAGCUCAGAAUCGAUCUUAAGGGGUAUAGUUUAAUUUGUUCAUGUGGCAUUCAUGUGUGCUAAAACUUUUGUGAUUUCUUCGAGUUUGCUAUCUGCUAUUUAUCUUCACAUUCUUGUACAGCUGGUAUAUUGUACAGCUGGUAUGUGUUUCGGACUUUGAUUGUGAUGAAUUGGUGUUCUGCUGUCAUCCGCUUGCUGUUGCUGCCUUCUGCUCUGCUGCUGCUUCCAUCUGAUGCAGCUGCUACCGUAGCUGCUGCUGCUGUUGAUGGUGCUGUCAUUGCUACUGCUGCCGUUGAUGUUACUGCUGUGUGCCAUCUGAAGCUGCUGCGUGCGUGUACUAAUGUUCUAAGGCUUGGUUGAUUCCUCUAGUUAGACAUGGGUGGAGUGUACUAAUGUUCUAAGAAGCUGUUUGAUAUUUUUUUAGACGUGCAUAUAUAUGUAUUUCUCUUGUUAUUAAUAUAUAAUUUUUAUAUUGUUGGUUCU